GACAGAGGGUGCAAACGUUGUUCGGAAUUACUGGGUGUAAAGGGUUCGUAGGCGGUGUGGCAAGUCGGGAGUGAAAUCUCUGGGCUCAACCCAGAGACUGCUUCCGAAACUGCUGUGCUUGAGUGUGAGAGAGGCUCGUGGAAUUGCAGGUGUAGCGGUGAAAUGCGUAGAUAUCUGCAGGAACACCCGUGGCGAAAGCGGCGAGCUGGAUCACUACUGACGCUGAGGAACGAAAGCUAGGGGAGCAAACAGG
rnacentral:rRNA from 1 species